rnacentral:rRNA from 1 species
UACGUAGGGGGCAAGCGUUGUCCGGAAUCAUUGGGCGUAAAGCGCGUGUAGGCGGCCAGAAAAGUCCGCUGUGAAAACUCGAGGCUCAACUUCGAGUUGUCAGUGGAAACUUUCUGGCUAGAGUCCGGAAGAGGAGAAUGGAAUUCCUGGUGUAGCGGUGAAAUGCGCAGAUAUCAGGAAGAACACCCGUGGCGAAGGCGGUUCUCUGGGACGGUACUGACGCUGAGACGCGAAAGCGUGGGGAGCGAACAGG